AGGUCUCACAUUGGCGGUGCUACACAAUUGUACCAAAAUCUCUUCAUUUCUGUUUCAGCAAAACCUAUUGUGAGCACCCAAGAAAAAAGGCCAAAAAUCUCGGAGGGAUUGAAUUUGCAGCACCAGCUGAACUUGAUUCUGACAGUGAAAGCAGCAAGAGUCUGGUUUUGGUUUUGUUUGGUUGCUGCAGAAGAGAAGUGGAGAUUACGUUUGAUGCCAUAUUUAACAUUCAUAAUCAUAUUCAUCUUUUUUUUUUUGUGGCUGGGUGCUUGAAUGAGCAUGUGACACCAUGCUUGAAAUGGCAUACUUUCAUUGCUAAAGAGGUUGUUUCGGUGUAUUCACUUUUACAGGUUGAAAAUCCUACUCAGUUCCUCCUCUUGUAUCAUUCUAUAUAUGUGUCAUAUCAUAUCAUUCUCAUUUCAUUAAAGGCAUCCCGUGAGAAGAAGCUUGGUCUUGCUAGUGAAACUGAGACUUUCAGGUGGAGAUAAGAUUACAAGAGAGGCCAGUUUUAUCUUCAUGGAAACUGAACAGCUUAGUACAAAUGUGGCUGCAAAUAGUGCUAAAGAAUGAGACUCUUGUUGUUUAGGUUUUGUUUAAAUAAUGUAUGGAGAAUGAACUUUUUUAUCUUUUGGAUGAAAUGCAAAUUCAAAGAAAAGUGCAGAGGACUUUAUGAUGGAAAGGAUUAAAGGAUAAUAAGACAAACAUUGAUGAUUUGUAAUUGUAAUUGUAAUUCUGAUCUUAACUUUUCGAUGUAAUACUAUAUUUCAUAGUAAUU